rnacentral:ncRNA from 2 species
UGUGAUCCCGGAGGCGAUGAUUUGGGGGCUGUAUGGUGGUCACUUGGCCCCCAGUGAGCCAAUAGUGAAACCGACCGGAGGCAUG